rfam:Myotis lucifugus cont2.18010, whole genome shotgun sequence.
AGGGGUGGGAUGUAGCUGUUUGAAACAAACGUGUAUAAAUAAAUGAAUUGUUGACCUGGAGAUUGGUAGCUUGUUCAAGAAAGCCUA